UCUCUCUCUCUCUCUCUCCGUGUUCUUCAUUUCUCUGUUAAUUCUCUGUUUCCUACCUUCAUUCGACUCUCAAACUCUUUUGCGACUGUUUUAUUUGCCAUUUGAUUUAAGCAGUCCUUUCUUGUUGUUUUUAUUUGACUCUCAUUUUUUUGUUCUAUUUUGCUUUUUAGCUGAGGUUUCAGGUUGAAAAAGGAAAAAAAAAAUGGUUCUAGAUAUCUUCAUCUCCAUCUUCACAGAGGUAAUUAAAGAACCCAUCAUGGAAUUUAUUGUUGUCCCGAUCAAACGACACAUCAGUUAUCCUUUCAUCUACAAGAGCAAGGUUGAGACACUCCAUCGUGAGGCUGAGCAGUUGAUGAACAAAAGACUCAAGUUGCAGCAAUCCGUUGAUGAGGCGACAAGAAAAGGGGAAGAGAUCUACGAAAGUGUCAACAAGUGGAUGAUCGAUGCAGGCAAAGCUAUUGAAGAAGCUGAGGAAUUUAUCCAAGGCGAAGAACAAGCGAAAAAGAGGUGUUUCGUUGGAUUAUGUCCUGAUUUGAAGACGCGCUACCUUCUUAGCAAGAAAGCAGAGAAGAAAGCUUUGGCAAUUGAUAAGCUUAGGAAUGAAGGCGACCUGGAUUCAAUUUCAUUUCGUCCCCGUCUACUGCAGAUAGUUGCCUCAUCAGUAUAUCAUCGUGAGGCCUUGAAUUCAAGAGUUUUGUUCUUGAAGCAAGUUAUUGAUGCUCUGAGAGAUCCUAAUCUUAACAAGAUUGGAGUGUAUGGAAUGGCAGGUGUAGG
rnacentral:misc_RNA from 1 species